GACGAACGCUGGCGGCGUGCUUAACACAUGCAAGUCGAACGGUAAGGCCUUCGGGUACACGAGUGGCGAACGGGUGAGUAACACGUGGGUGAUCUGCCCCCUACUCUGGGAUAAGCCUGGGAAACUGGGUCUAAUACCGGAUAUGACCUCCUUCUGCAUGGUUGGUGGUGGAAAGUUUUUUCGGUAGGGGAUGAGCCCGCGGCCGAUCAGCUUGUUGGUGGGAUAAUGGCCGACCAAGGCGACGACGGGUAGCCGGCCAGAGAGGGCGACCGACGAGACGUGGGCUGAGACACGGCCGAGACGCCCGCGGGAGGCGGCAGUGGGGAAUGGUGAACAAUGGGGGAAAGCCUGAAGAAGCGACGCCGCGUGGGGGAUGACGGCCUUCGGGUUGUAAACCCCUUUCAGACGGGACGAAGCGAGAGUGACGGUACCGAUAGAAGAAGCACCGGCCGACUACGUGCCAGCCGCCGCCGUAAGAC
rnacentral:rRNA from 1 species